CAUGGGGAAAGGAGCGUUCAGAGCCAGCCCACAGGGAAGAGGCACAUCCUGAUCAGCGUCGCUGCCGCCUUUCCCUCCGAGGCCGUGGCUGUGUGAGCAGCGCUGAGAUGCGAAACCAACAAAGAGCUCAGUGUCUCCCAGCAAAACCUCUAUCAUCACAGAAAAACUACUCCUUGCAGGAGAAAUAAGGUUGAGCCCAUUAAUUCUUUACCUGCUGUGUCCUGCCACUCUUUUACAAGACCCCUUCUCAUCACAGAGGAGGAAGGGAGGAGGAAGAUGUAAUCUGUGGUUAGAAACAACCAAGAGUAAGAAGCAGAGACUACUUAAUGAUUUAACUAGUGCUUCCUUUUCCACUCUGAAAUAAAUUGUGUCCACUGUGCUUUUAAAAAAUAAAUAUUUGUUGGAGAAAUGCA